UGUGAGCCAUCUCCCAGCCCUCUGAUUUAAUAUUGUUCUUACUUGGUGUGGGACACUUACUAUAAGACUGCCCCCAAAGCUUCUCAAGUUUUCCUUGCUGGAAGAUUUGGAAGGUAUCUUACUAGCAGCAAUGGAACAGCAAUGGAACUCAGCCUGGAACUGAGGCUACAUGGUCAGCUUUUCUCGAGCUUCUACUGAGACUCUACUUGCUUUGCUUAGAAUUGAAAAAGACAAAAGAAAUAAACCAAAUCCUCAAAUCCAUUUCUGAAAGCCUUGGGACCUAAGAGGAAAGUUUAGAGAUGAGCCAUGAUGCUUGAGGAGGUCUGCUGUUGAAGAAUUAAAAACCAGAGGAAACCAGGUAACAAGAGAGAUGUCAAAGGAAGGAGACAUAACCAUAUUAAACCAACAAUAAGGUAAAGGAGAAGAGCUAAAAAUGUUCUCUGAUGCUUGAAGAGGAAGAGAAGUUUGAGCAGCUGCUUCAGGCUGUUCUGGGAGCUGGUUUGACUGGAGGAGAACUCUGUAGCUCUUGGAAGCUGGGAGAAAAUAGAAUCCUGCUAUGUGAAGAGCUGGCUAGGUUUGGUGGUAUUGCCCACAGAUAAAAUUUGAAAAACUUUUCAUCUUUCUCUUAAGGAAAAUAUUUGUCACUGACUUAGCCUAACACUGUUUCAUUAAAAAGGCAAGAGGGCAGACCUAAAAUGCUGCUGAUCUCUGAAUUGUUUUGUUUUUUUUUUUUUCCUUCUAAAAAUGUAUAAUAUUACUACUUGAUGAAAAGAGCUUAACAUUGCUUCAGUGGACCCAGAGCAUCAGAAAAGUGUAUCAAAGUAUAUUCAAAAGGAUACAAAGAUACCUCUCUUCAUCAUGCUUCACUUUAUUGCACUUCAUAGAUUGUAUUUUUUUAUACAAAUUGAAAA